rnacentral:rRNA from 1 species
CCUACGGGAGGCAGCAGUGAGGAAUCUUUGUCAAUGGGCGGAAGCCUGAACCAGCCAAGUAGCGUGCAGGAUGACGGCUCUACGGGUUGUAAACUGCUUUUAUACGGGAAUAACGCGCCUUACGUGUAGGGCUUUGCAUGUACCGUGUGAAUAAUGACCGGCUAAGUCCGUGCCAGCAGCCGUGGUAAUCCGGAGGGUCCGGGAGUUAUCCGGAUUUAUUGGGUUUAAAGGGCGCGUAGGCCGUAUGGCAAGCGUGUUGUGAACCGUCCGGGAUCAACCCGGGCCUUGCAGCGCGAACUGGCGGGCUAGAGUCCGCGGAAAGCAGGCGGAAUUCGUCGUGUAGCAGUGAAAUGCUUAGAUAUGGCGAAGAACCCCGAUUGCGAAGGCAGCUUGCUGCAGCUGAACUGACGCUGAUGCUCGAAAGCGCGGGUAUCGAACAGGAUUAGAUACCCUUGUAGUC